ACUCUCUCAGCUCUGCUCAGUUGCACACAAUCCUAGUGGUGCAGCUGUCGUUUUCCGGGAGGGAAAGCAAAUGGGUCCAUAUAUGCACGGCAGUGAGACUUGAUGAAGUGGUCUCCCUGUUCCUUUUCAGACUCAACAAGC